rnacentral:tRNA from 1 species
GCUUCUAUAGCUCAGGCGGCAGAGCGCAUCCUUGGUAAGGAUGAGGUCACCAGUUCGAAUCUGGUUAGAAGCUCCA